rnacentral:lncRNA from 1 species
UAUCAUCAACAAUGUAUACCAAAAACAAAAAAAGUUGAAAUUUACAAACACACUAGAAUGGUAUUUCAUAUAUUUAUUCAAUUUUUAGAAUUUUUUAAUACACUGAGUUAUCAUCUACAAAGUAUACAAAAAAACACCCAAAUUACAAACAUAUAAGAAAGGUUUUUAAUAUUUUAUUGAAUUUUAAAAUGUUUUAAUACACUGUAUCCGACUGUCAUGUCAACAUAUAUAUUAUUAGUUCAAAUAACAACAAAAAUAACGGAUUUUUUUAAGCAAUCUAAAGCUUUAAACAUUAAUAGAAAGUUCCUUGCUUCUAGAAUUAUUUACCAGUUCUAUUAAAAUCUGUAACAUCAUAAAAAUAAAAUUGAGAAUGGAAAUCGGGAAUGUGUCAAAGAGACAACAACCCGACCAAAUAAAAAAACAACAACAGCAGAAGGUCACCAACAGGUCUUCAAUGUAGCGAGAAAUUCCCGCACCCGGAGGCGUCCUUCAGCUGGCCCCUAAACAAAUAUAUACUAGUUCAGUGAUAAUGAACGCCAUACUAAUUUCCAAAUUGUACACAAGAAACUAAAAGUAAAAUAAUACAAGACUAACAAAGGCCAGAG